CCUACGGGUGGCUGCAGUGGGGAAUAUUGCACAAUGGGGGGAACCCUGAUGCAGCAAUGCCGCGUGGGUGAAGAAGCACUCCGGUGCGUAAAGCCCUGUCAGCAGGGAAGAAAAUGACAGUACCUGGACAAGAAGCCACGGUUAACUACGUGCCAGCAGCCGCUGUAAAACGGAGGGGGAAAGCCUUAUCCGGAUUUAUUGGGGUGAAAGGGAGCGAGGGCGGGGGUGCAGGUGAGGUGUGAAAACCCGGGGCCCAAUCCCGGGAGUGCAUUUGAAACUGCCAUGCUGGAGUGCCGGAGAGGUAAGCGGAAUUCCUAGUGCAGCGGUGAAAUGCGUAGAUAUUAGGAGGAACACCAGUGGCGGAGGCGGCUUACUGGACGGUAACUGACGCUGAGGCUCGAAAGCGUGGGGAGCAAACAGGAUUAGAUACCCUUGUAGUC
rnacentral:rRNA from 1 species